CAGCCGCCGCGGUAACACGUAGGGGGCAAGCGUUAUCCGGAAUUACUGGGUGUGAAGGGAGCGUAGACGGUUAAACAAGUCUGAAGUGAAAUGCCGGGGCUCAACCCCGGAGCUGCUUUGGGAACUGUAGAACUGGAGUGUCGGAGGGGUAAGCGGAAUUCCCAGUGUAGCGGUGAAAUGCGUAGAUAUUGGGAGGAACACCGGCGGCGAAGGCGGCUUACUGGACGACAACUGACGUUGAGGCUCGAAGGCGUGGGUAGCAAACUGGAUUAGAUACCCCCGUAGUCCCUGUCUCUUAUAC
rnacentral:rRNA from 1 species